rnacentral:lncRNA from 1 species
AUAAUCAGACGUAAACCCAAAUAGUUUUCUACACAGGCGGCGAAUUUGUCAUCAAAUUGAUUAAUAAAAUGCACGGAAUCGGCGGCAUCCAUUACUAUCCGAUUUGGCUCCAUUCAGCAAAUUGAUGAAUGAAAUGAACAGAAUCGGCGCAUCCAUUGUUGUCCGAUUUGGCUCCGUUCAAUUGAUGAAUGAAAUGCACGGAAUCGAAGGCAUCCAUUAUUGUCCGAUUUGGCUCCGUUCAGCUAAUUUAAUUUUCCGGCCGACUGAUUUUGACUGAGGUAAUUUUCACCUAAAACUGAGUCUUAUAUGUUCUGUAAAUUAAGUUAUAGUGCUUUAACUCUGCUCUCGCUGCAUAGUGAUAGCCCUAACUUCAAUCUCUCCGUAUCUGUGCUAUUUGGUUAUCUCAAUAUCCAUGUGUUUUGAUACGAAGUAUGGAUAUUUUAGGUAAGUAUAGAGAAACAUUGAUUGUUGAGCCUUGAGGUGUGAAACUUACGAAAAAGUGAUGGUUUAGGUGUUUUUUUAAUCGCUCUGUAUUGAAAUUUUAGUGCUUCGUGUGAAAUACUUCAAUCUGAAGUCAUUUUCGAAUUGUUCGGAUUGAGGUAUAGUUGAUUCGUUGAUUUUCCUACUAUUCAAAGCAACCUUUUUACCGCCCGGGAUCUAAGCAUUUGAAAUCUAUUAGUUUCCAAAUCCAAAUCAGUCCAUCCACAACUGUUAAGAGUAAAGCUAAAAUCGUUUUUGGAAUAUAACAAACCAAAACCAUUAUGUACUAUUGAAACUGAAUCAUAUGAUUGGGAGAAAACUUCACACUUUUCUCUUUCAAUUUGAAGGAAUCUCAAAAGUUAAGAGACAAAAAAUAAGUGACGUUGCACGUUGAUUAGCUUUGUCAUUGCGAUCUGAUGAGGUACGUUGACUUAUUCAGCUCAUUGCUUUUUUCUAUUUUUGGACAAGUUUAUUUUAUAGCGUGUUUAGUCAUCUCAGUUUGUGUUUUGAAAUCAUGAAACAAAGUAACUUUACUAAUUUAUUCGAUAGUGUCAGUAUUUUGGGACUCUAAAAACCUAAAGACUCGCAUAUGCUCCCUCUGACCACUUUUACUUUUCUACUUUUAACUUCACAUGCCUCUUAAGUAACAAUGGUUGAUAUGCAUAUUUUACGACAAUGCCAAUAUUAAUUGAUGAAUACUCUUAGGUCUUGGGACAUGCUUUGUGAAAUAAGUAACUAAUAUUGACGUUAAAUAUAUUUUUUUUUUGUUGUCUAUUCUUGAUAUAUUAGAAGUAAUAAAGUAAAAGUGAAAAUCUACUUUUUGGAAUAGUAGGCGUUUAAGAAUUAACUAAGGGAGUAGUAAACCUGACAAGGUGACCACAAUAAAAAAGUAUAUUAGUAAGGUUAGUAUUACUAUCAACACAAUACUCUAAUACCAAAUCCAUGUUUUACCAAUAAUUGACUCUUAAUUUAUUCAAGAAAAUCACAAAUUAAUGGAGGGUGAAAUUAUUGUAGUUCCAUGUCAGUAGAAUUUGUAAAAAAAUAUCGACCUAUGAGUAGGCAAGGACACAUUAUAACAAUUGUUUUGAACCCCUUCAUGCUCUUGUCGUGUCGAAAUACUGCACAAAAAGAGGAAUAGUAAAGAAAGGAAACGUAAAAUAUACGACUAAUUUACCGUGCUUUCUGUCUCAUGAAAAUUAGUUGAACCAACAUAAUUAGCUCGAUUAAGCAAAUUACCUUGCAAGUUAAUGGUACAAAAAAUGUCCUCAAACACCAAAAUUGACUUAUUCGUUAUGGCAACCGACAACUCCCUUAAAUUUGAAUUCCUCGUCAAUGCAGUCAACUCCAAAUCAUAUAUGUCGAAGUUCAAAUAAUUCGCCAUUGCUGCAAUCAAACUAGAUUUCUAAGUCCUCGGAGGACCAAACAACAAAUACCCUCUUUUCCAUGCCUUCCCUACUUCCUAUAAUAAUCUUUUCUCAUCAGGAAUCUCUCCAAAUCCUUCAAAAUCAUGUGUUUCUGGUCUCCGAUUCCAUCAUGAUUGUCUAAAAAGUGGCGGGAUGAUCAAAUUCACCGGCUUCCACAUGUCAUGUAAAUUGUAAAUCUCUUCAUAUCCCACAUUAUGAAUCUUGAUCGUCUUGUUUUUGUGUUUUUUGUAAUAUUGCUUCUUUUAUGAUGUAUGGCAAGUAAGAAUUAAGGACAAGGUUCUUGUUUUUCUUGUGAAAUGUCAACCCAUGUCUGUGGGGUUGUAGAAGUGUUUUAGACUGUACUUGUCUACAGUUUCACUUGAAUGAUUGCCCAUUAUAAACAUCUACACCUAUUGGAAUAAAACCUUCAUAUCAGAAAAAAGCAUCAUCUUCAAAAGAUCUAUUAUCUUAAAUUAUUACGAAGGCAAAUUAAAUGUGGAAGCUUACUUGAGCACCCAUGCAUAUAGAACAAUUUUUCAAUUCAAGAUGUGAAUCUUUAGGGAACUAAUAUUCACUUCUCUAAUGGUGGACUACUAGAGAAACUUUCAUUAUGUGUAAUUUGGGGACCAUAACCCUAUUUAUAAUUACACAUAGUUUGCUUGUUUCUAUUUUGUUUGGUUUAUUAUUAAAUUAGAAGUUUUAUCAGCAUAUCUUCACAUAAAAACACAUACUUUAUGAUUUUUCUUACGAAACAUUUAACUUUUUGCAUUAAGUUGACUACCUGACUACUUGUAUUCUAUGUUGCUCAGACCCUAAAAAAUAUGGUUAUACACGUGAGAUUCUCCAAAAGUGCAUGACAUUAGAAGGAUUUGAUAUUUUCAUUUGACAAUCACUACAAAAAAACAGAAAUUUGCUACAAAUUUUAUUGCUUAUUCGUUGCUAAAUAGCUCAUAGCUAACACAAAUUUUGGAUAAUUUGAAGUGACAUAUAUUGUUAUUAAGCUACAAAAUUUUUACACUACUAAUCCACAUAUUCUUAGUACUAAAUAUAUUUUAAGAGUUCAAGCAACAUAACUUUUAGUUUGAUCUAAAACUUUUAUUAUAACAAAUAAUAUAACUUGCAAUUAUCAUGUUAUAUAUAAAUGUGUGUGUGCAAAUAAGUACCUCAUUACGUUUCAUGGUGAUGUUCAAAUUUUUCUCCUUCUCAGUCUUACUGAAUUUAAAUAUAUGGAUUUGAGGGGACAACUUGUUGGCCAAAUAAAUCGAUGCAACUUCAUAAACUUUGUUGUUGAAGAGGCCAUCAAAUUCGUCAAUCACCAUCGUUAGCUGAUUUGAGAACUUGGUGAACAUGUUUUUGAGUCCAAAGAAGAGAUAUGCAUGCAAUUCCCUAGGGAUGUAGUUGUGGAUUAUCGUAGGGACCAACAUGAUUGUUGCAGUAACUAAGCCUACUCUCGAUAAAAUUGUCUUGGCGAGGGUUAAUUUUCGAUUUUGCACAUGAAGAGGACAUGCUUCUUAAGGGCUUUUUGGCUAGUGGGUCUGUAACAACUAAAUUUUUGUUCCUGAAAAUGUAACAAUCAAGACAAGAAAGUACGAUAAGUAUUUAUAUUUUAUUUCAUUAUGUGUGUGGAUUACAAUCUUUAUGAAAUCUUAAAUAGAAAGAUGUAAUCGUUUUAUUCUUAUCAUCAUGACCAGUAUUUUGGAUGGUUAAAGACGAUAAAAAGCGACAAGGAUCUGUCUCGCCACAGGGUGAGGCGAGCAAUGAGGCGCUCACCUUUCGUAAAGUGCGGCACCAUUUAAUAGCAAAAAAGUAAAAUAUUUAAUUGCAUGUGUAAAUAAUUAAAAUCUCAAUAGCAAUAACAUAUUAACAAAUAUUUCAAUUCAAAAACUGAAAAAUAGAUAAUACAUGCUAAAAUAAAACUUGAAUGAGAAAAAAAAACCUUAACAAAAGUCAAAACAAAGGUAAGAAGAAGGAAAAAGAAAUAAGAAGAAGGAAAAAGAAAAGAGGAAGAAGAAAUAUAUAUUGGUUAAACUUUGGAGUUGUCGGAAAAGUCUGGCUAGUUGCCGAAGGAGUCUAGUCGAAAACGCUAAAAUUACGUUUUAACUUUUGAAACCCUAAAUUGGUCGCCUAAGAAAAUACAAAAGGCGACACCUUUCUUGCCUUUUGUCAUCAUGUCGUCGCAUUUUGAUGAUCGUCUCGCCACAAAGCUAAAAGGAUUUGAAGAUCGCCUCGCCUCUCGCCAUCAGUGACGAGGUGAUCGCCUUUCACAACAAUGAUCACGACCAUCAACUCAAGGUUUUAUAGUUGUAGAAGGUAGACUAUUUAAGUGUAAUUAACUCUCGCUUGAUUUUGAUCAGCUCAUUUGAUGAGGUCACAUUUAAUUAGCCAAGACAUGUCAAUUGGAACAUUUGUUUGCUAUUGAUGUGUUUAAUAUGACUUGGAGUGCCACAUCAUUGGAAUACGUGACAUCAUUUUAUUUGUCCUUUAUUUGACUUGAUGUGUCAUGUCAUUUGACACAUGGCAUGUGCCUUGGCCUAAUUGAGCGGGCUCAUUAUUUGAAGACCGACUCAAUGGACUAGCUCACGUGAAAUUGGACUUUGCUUAAAUCCAUAUCUUGGAAUUAAAAAAUCUGAUCUUGAUUUGGGUUUGAUAUUUAUUGAAUUUAUGUGAAUUUAAUCUAGAUUUAUUUCCAUAAAUUCCUAAGUCUACUAAUUCCUCAAGAUUUUGCUGAAGUGUUAUGUGCCUAAAACAAGAGUGAACUUGUAGAAAGCAAGAGUGAGUAGUAGAAACUGACAGCCUUGAUUCAUUGGUUUAGAUUAGUUUUAAUCCAGAAGAGGUCUUGGGUUCAAUACUACUUAACCAAUUUUUUUUAUGAGUAUAUUGUAGUUUUCAAAACUAAGCUUAGUUUGAGGUUUGAACCCCUGACUUCAAACACUAAACCGGACAGUGAACCAACAUGCAAUCAGUUUAUUAAUAUCAAAUAACAUCAUUUUGUUUUACAUAUAGCUUUAUACAUAGUUUUAGUAUAUAUAUUUUGCAAAAUUUUCCAACAAGCAGUGUCGCUUGCCACCCCUUUGCUAAAUGUAAGUCUACCCUGUUGAGCUCCCCUAUUCUUCAUAUUUGCAUAGAAAUAAGCAGAAUUAAAAUCCUCUAAGUGGAGCCACUGGACUCUAAAUUUCAGCGUAUUGAUGCUCUCCUCAAUCACACUCCAUUUUUCUAGUUUAAAUUUUGAUGACUUUUGCUGCUCAAUCAAUAUAGGGUCGUGCCUAUGAUCCCUCAUUUGUUCUUGAUGAUCAGUUAGAUCUUUCCUCCAUUGCCUUUUAUCUGCUUGAAGGAGUUUUAUUAGGAAAUAAGACGAGUUUCAUAGCAAUAAUGGAACAGAAGGUGAAAGAGAAUAAAGUCAAUAAUGUUAUAGAGAAGAUAGUCUCAUAAUGGAAUGGCUAGGAAACUAAGCUCAAAGUACUAGAAAUAAAAUUUGGAUUUUGUGGAAUCUCCAACUGUAGUGGAGUACACUAUGCUUAAUAUAGGAAAGUAUCUUCGGGGUGGUCCACUGGUUUGGGCUUGGGACUUCUAUGUUGAAGGUCUCAUGUUUGAAACCCCUUGCCAGCUAAAGCAAGAGGUUUGCCUCCUGGGUCGAGCUCGUCGCAUCGGUUUGCCUAGUGCGGGUUACCUCUCUUAUGUGGUCGCAAGCUAUUGCAUGGGAGCGAGGGUUUUACCCCGUGCGCACCCAAAGGAUGGAGGCUACGAAUUUCCCUUGUCAUAAAAAAAUAUAGGAAAGUUUUAAAGUCAUAGUCAAUACCAACUAUUACUAUCAUUAGUCAUGGUACAAUAUUUUUUUAUGACAAGGAAAACCCGCAGCUGAUACCCUUUGGGUGCGCACAGGGUAAAAACCCCGCUCCUAUUCAAUAGCUCGUAAACCAGAUAAGAAAGGUAACCAGCACCAGGUAAGACUGGUGCGACGAGCUCGACCCAGAAGGCAAACCCCUUGCUUUCGCUGACAGGGGGUUUCACACUUGAGACCUCCAACAUGGAAGUCCCAAGCCCAAACCACUGGGCCUGCCCGAAGGAUACAAUUUUUCCUAUUUACUUUGGACUAUUUCUCACUUUAUUUGAUUUUCUUUUCUUCACACGAUUUUACUAUACAUUUACCAUUUCCUCAAUUGCAAUUGCGUCAAUAUUUUGGUUACUAUUUUUAUUUACACAUUUGGUACAUAACAAUAACAUCCACUAGCCAAAAAAACCCUUAAACAUAUGUCCUCUUCAUUAGCAGAAUGGAAAAUGGCGUUGACCAAGAUUGUUUUAUCAACAAUAAGCUCUAUUGUUGUGACAAUCAUGUUGGUUCGUUCGAUAAUCCACUGCUACAUCCCCUUUGAACUCCAUGAAUAUCUCUUCUUUGGACUCAAAAAUAUGUUCACUAAGUUCUCAAAUCAGCUAAGAUGGUGAUUGACGAAUUUAAUGGCCUUGUCAACAACGAAAUUUAUGAAGUUGCUGAAAUUUAUUUGCGCAACAAGUUGUCACCUAACAUUCAUCGACUUAAAAUUAGUUAGCCUGAGAAGGAAAAAAAUUUCAACAUUGCCAUGACAUGUAAUGAAGAGGUAAUGUUAUACUGAUAAUUGCAUCUUAUGGUAUUUGUUACCAUAAAAUAUUUAGACUAAACUAAAAAUGAUGUUGCUUGGACUCUUAAAAGAUAUACUAAUAAGAAUACAUGAAUUAGUGGUGGAAAAAUUUUGUAGCUAAACAACAUAUCCACUACACAUCAUAAAAAAAUGUGCUGGAGAUGAGCUAUUUAGCAAAAAAUUUCGUAGCAAAUUUCUGUUUUUUUUGUAAUGAUUGUCGAGUUAUGUUUGACCUUUCUAAAGCAAUGCACUUUUGAAGAAUUUAACACAUGUAUGACCACAAUUUUUAGGGUCCGAGCAAUCUAGAACAGAUGUAGUCAGACGGUCAACUUAGUGCUUAGAGUUAAAUGUUCAUAAGAAGCAUAAUAAAAUAUGUGUUUAUAUGUAUAGAUAUGCAGAUACUACUUCUAAUUUAAAGAUCAAUUAAACAAAUUAGAAACAAACAAACUAUGUGUAAUUAUAAAUAGGGUUACAGACAUAUGACUUUUUUUUCUAAUAGUCCCCAUUUGAAAGUGAAUUAAUUCUUGGGUUGUUUCUUGAAAUUAUGAAUUUAUCUAAUUUAAUUCCAUAAACUCCUAAAUUUACUAAUGCUUCAAGGUUUUGCUGUAGUUUUAUGUGCCUAAUGUGACAAAAUAGUAACCAAUAAAUUGAUUCUUGAAUUAAUUUUUUUUUACGAUCUACAAGAAGGUAAGGGGAAAUAGAGUUCAAUGGCAAUUGAGGAAAAUACAAAAUUUAUUGGAAAAUCAUUUGGAAUAGUUUAUAUUCAGACUAAAUAAACUAGUUGUUUGAUGUCAUGCUUGUAAUGCUUAGAAACUAACAUCACAUACAGAGUCUACGAGAAAAAUUAUAAGAGUGUGAAGAAGCAAUUAUGGUUAUAGAAAGCAUGAAGAAUCUGUAAACAAAAUGCAGGAAAUACUUGUAGAAUUAUUCUCCUAUUCAAAUGUCAAAUGGAAUAAGAAAACAUUUUCUUACUCAUAAACCAAAUACAGUAAUAGCAAUAUGAAAUUUCAGCUAAUUAUUUUUGUUCGUCAAUCAAUAUAAUAGAACUCUUAAGGGGGGCAUACCACUUGAUCGUUUACAUCAGAUUAACGAUUACAAAAUUACUCCUUAUCUUUCUUUCUUCUAAUCAACAGACUCCAUUUGAGUUAUUUCCAUGGCCUCUUCCUUCUCUUUCAUCUUUUUGUGAAGAAAAUUAAUCAACCUUUUUAGUGAAUCUUCAACUUCAUGUUCCUGCAACAACUGCUCUGCCACUUCUGCUGGUGUCACAUUGAGUAUGUCUAUCAAUUCCUCAAUUUCUUUGAAAAAUUUAUGAUCCUUAAUCCCUAAGUAAUUGGUAGCAAGAAGUUUGAAUCCAGAAGGUGUGCAGUAUGUCAUGUGAAUGUGCACAUCCAUUCUGCCAGGUCGCAGCAGUGCAGGGUCAAGCUUUUCUAUGUGAUUUUUUGUGAAAAUUAUGAUUCUUUCGCCUCCACAGCUCGACCAUAGCCCGUCAAUAAAAUUCAGUAAACCUGACAAGGUGAUCUGCAAUAAAAAAUAUAUAUCAGCAUGGUAAAGUAUUACACAAUACACUAUUACCAUAUCCAAAGUAUCCCAAUAAUUGACUCUUAAAUUAUUCAAGAAAAUUACAAAUUAAUGGAGGGUGAAAUUAUUGUAGUUCCAUGUUGGUAGAAUUUAUAAAAAAAUAUCGACUAUUUCGACACAUUAUAACAAUUGUUCUGAACUCCAUCACAUCUUGUCAUGUCGAAAUGCUGAAAUAAAAAGAAGCCAACAUAUCCUAUCUAAUUUAUGGUAAUUAAUCAAUUAACCUAAAAAUACUAAUAGCAAGAGGGAAACCCGUAAUCUUCAACUUGACCAAUUCCCUGACUAUAGAUGUCAAACUACCCCAUAAACUAAAACCAAGUCGGAAUAGUAAAGAUAGGAAAUACAAAAUUAAAAGACUAAAUUUACCAUGCUUUCUGACUGAUAAAAAUCAUUACCAUGCUUUCUGACUGAUAAAAAUCAUUUGAAUGAACAUUCAUAUCAUGAUUAACCAAAUUAGCUUCCAAAUUAAGGGUACAAUCAAUGUCCUCAAUCACCAAAAUUGACUUAUUGGUUGUGGCAACCAACAACUUCCUUAAAUCUAAAUUCCUUGUCACUUUAGUCAACUCCAAAUCAUAUAUAUUGAAAUUCAAAUAAUUCGCUAUUGCAGCUAUCAAACUAGAUUUCCCAGUCCCCGGAGGACCAAACAACAAAUACCCUCUUUUCCAUGCCUUUCCUACUUUCCAGUAAUACUCUUUCCUCGUCAUGAAUUUCUCCAAAUCCUUCAAGAUCAUGUCUUUCUGGUCUGAAUCCAUCACGAUUGUCUCAAAAGUGGUAGGAUGAUAAAAGUUCACCGACUUCCACAUGUUAUGUAAACAGAAUUUCUUUCCGUAACCCACAGUAUGAAUCUUGAUCGUCUUGUUUUUGUGUUUUUGCAAUGUUGCUUCUUCCACGAUGUAUGUCAAGUAAGAAUUAAGGACAAGGUCCUUGUUUUUCUUGUGAAAUGUCAACUCAAAGGACCUUAUUAUAGAUUUCUCAGCAGAAUCCAUGUCUCUGGGGUUGUAGAAGUGUUUAGACUCUGUUUGUUUGCAGAGCCAAAUCCACUUGAAUGUCUGUCCAUUAUAAACAUCUAUAACCUGUUGGAAUAGAAUCACAAGAUUAAAGAAAAAACAUCAUCUUCACAAGAUCUAUUAUCUUAAAUUAUUACGAAGGUAAAUUAAAUGUGGAAACUUACCUGAGCACUUAUGAAUAUAGAACAAUUUUUCAAAUCAUGAUUUUAAGAAAAGUGAUUUUUACUUUUCUAAUGGUGGACUAUUAGAAAAAUGUCAUAGUUUGUUUUUAUUUUUUCUUGUUUAUCAGUGAAUCAGAUGUUGUAUCAAGAUAUGUUUGUCUGAUCUUGAAACCCCAACCCCAACCCCAACCCUAUUUAUAAUUACACUUAGUUUGUUUGUUUCUAAGUUGUCUAAUUUAUCAUUAAAUUAGAAGUUGUAUUAGUAUAUCUAAACAUAAUAAUACAUUUUUUAUGAUGCUAAAAGCUAAAAAAUUUAUUUCUAAAUAGCUCAUAGACACAAUAUUUUUUAUAAUCUGUAGUGUCAAAAUAUUUUUGUUUACCCACAGAAUUAGUCCACUCUAGUCUAUGUAUUCUUAGUAAUUAAUAUAUUUGAAGAGUCAAAAGCAAUACAAUAUGUAUAUGCACGCAAAAUAUUACCUCCUCAUUACGUUCCAUGGUAAUGUUGAAAUUUUUCUCCUUCACAGUCUUACUGAUUUUAAGUCUAUGGAUGUGAGGGGAUAACUUGUUCGCCAAAUAGAUUGUUGCAGCUUCAUAAAUUUUGUUUUUGACUAGGCCAUCAAAUUCGUUAAUCACCAUCGUUAGCUGUUUUGAGGAAUUGGUGAACAUGUUCUUGAGUCCAUAGAAGAGAUACGCAUAGAGUUCCCUGGGAAUGUAGUUGUGGACUAUCGUCUGAACCAACAUGAUUGUUGUAGCAAUUGAGCCCACUCUCGAUAAAACCCUCUUUGCUAGGGCUAGUUUCAACUCUGUUGAUGAAGAGGACAUGCUUCUUAGGGACUUUUUCGCUAGUCCGUGUGUAAGAACUAGUUUUUUUCCCCUGAAAAACGAACAAUCAAUGCAAGAAAAUAGCGACAAGUAUUUAAUAUUUGAUUCCAAUUAUGUGUGGGAUUAUAAUGCUUAUGAAAUUUAUGUAGAAAGGUGUAAUCCUCUAAUUCUUAUCAUCAUGACCAUCAACUGUUGGUCUUUGCUUGUUCUUGAGUUGAUGAUUCAUUUGUUAUCGAAAUUUUAGUAUGAAUAUGGAGCUAGGGUUUGAUCACACAUAUGAAGGUAUAGAAACUUACGACUCACCACCAGAGAUGAAGAACUUGCAGAUCGCCCCUAGAGUGUAUAGUUCUCUCUAGUUCUUCGGAUGAUCUUCAGAUUGAAGAUGCUUUCUCCCCAAUUCCUUGAAUGAUCCCCUUGAGAGGUAUGUAUCACCCCUAUUUAUAGUUGUAGAAGAUAGACAAUUUAAGUGUAGUAGAUGAACUCUCUUGCUUGAUUUUGAUUGACUCAUUUGAUAAGAUCACAUUUAAUUGGCCAAGACAUGUCAGUUGUAACAUGUGUCUGCAUUUGAUUGGUGUUUAUUAUGACUAAGUGUGCGGCGUCAUUUGAAUACGUAAUAUCAUUUUAUUUGACUUGGUGUGUUGUAUCAUUUGACACGUGGAAUGGGCCUUGGGCUAAUUGAGCGGGCUCAUUAUUUGAAGACCAACUCAAUGGACCAGCUCAGGUGAAAUUGAACUUAUCUUUAAAUCCAUAUUUUGGAAUGAAAUUAUUUGAUCUUAAUUUGGGUAUGAUAUAUUUCUAGAUUUAAUUCCAUAACUCGUAUGUCUACUGAUGCUUUAAAAUUUUUCUUUAAUGUUAUGUGCCUAUCAUGUGAUAAAAUAGUAACCAAUACAUUGAUUCUCGAUUUUUUUUUGAUCUACAAGAAUGUAAGGAGUAAUAGGGGGUGGAAAAAAAGAGCGGGUGGAAUACGAAGAUCUAACCACCAAUAUGUAUAACUUACCUUUUUAAGUUUAGGUGAUACCUUUUUAUCACACAAUACUUUAGCGGCAAACCUUCAUUUCAUCCAUGCUGCCCCAAUGUGAUGUAUGACAUAUCCUCGAUGUCUCCACUAUUCUAGAGUACGAACCCAAGAUACUUACAACUCCCUCUUGGAAAUAGUUUGUGUGGCAAGCUUCUUAUUAAUAAACAAUAUGUCGUCUACAAAUAACAUAUAGCAAGGCACCUCCUUUUCAAUAGACCAUGUCAACUCAUCUAUCACCAAAGCAAAUAAGAAAGGGUAAAGAAUUGAUCCUUGAUGUAGCCCCAUCUCAACUAGGAAAUUCUCCAAGUCUCCUUUGAUCGUUCUAACCCGAGCCUUAGAUCUAUCUUUCAUGUUCGCCCUAAUAUAUGCCAUCAGGAUACCUUAGCCACAAAAUACCUCCAGAGAACAUCCCUUGGGACUUUAUCAUAAGCCCUUUGAAGGUCAAUGAACACCAUAUGAAGAUUCCUCUUUUUUUCUGUACUUCUCCAUUAAUCUCUGCACUAGGUGGAUGUUUUAAGUUGUCGAACACCCUAGCAUGCACCAAAAUUGAUCCCUAGAAAUGGACACGCCUAUCCUCACCCUCAUAUCUACCACUCUCCCAAACCUUUAUUGUGUGGCUCAGCAAUUUGAUACUUGCAGUUUUGGAUUUCACCCUUUUUCUUGUACAAUGGAACCAUUGUCCUCCACCUCCAUUCGUUGGGCUUUUUUGUUAUCUUAAAAAUAGCAUUAAAUAAAAAAAAUAAGGAAAUAGUAAAAUAGUAACCAAUAUAUUGAUUCUUAAAUUAUUAUCUUUUUCCGAUCUACAAGAAGGUAAGGGGAAUUAGGGUGCAAUGGCAGUUGAGGAAAAAUAUCAGAUUUAGAUGUUAUACACAAAAGUAUGCAAAAAUAACUUUAAUGAUUUUGUGUAGCAAGAAAAAGGAAUGUGUUGAUCAAUCUUACUAAAAAUAUAGAAAGAAUAUGAAUGUAAUAAAAACAAACAUUAGCAGCCUUUCGUUGUGAAGUUAUGACUAGAAUUGAUGGGUAUCAUUAAAAUACUAUUUUUACCUUUGAAAUAUCUUUACUUGAAACUUACUAUUUGCAUGACAAAUUACUGAUGAAUGUUUUAUUUUAUUCAUAAUAUAUUUCUUACAAAAUAUUAUUACACAAUAUUUGAGAAUGAUUUUUGUAGAGGGGUUAUUUGAGUGUACUAAUAUAAUGAAUGUUGUUAUAGAGAAGUACAAUAUAAUAUGAAAAAACUAUUGGAGAAAAUCAUGUCGUAAUAAUGACGGUCGUUAUAGAGUGUUUUGAUGGUAGUUAGUAUUGACGAUGUAGACUUUGAAACUUUCCUAUAUUGUGCCCUCUAGACUUUGUGAUUCUCAACUAAGGUUGUGUGAUAGAUAUUCUUGGUACUUAAGGGUACUCCAAGAUAUCUAAAUGGCAUGAACCCGUUUGAAAAGCCUAAUCAGUAGUUGUUGGUCAUCUUUUACUAGGGAUGACAAUGGGGCAGUGCGGGGUAGGGGUUGGGCGGGUUGAGCUUAACCCGCAAAAUUUUUAAUCUGCCCCGCCUUGCAUCACAAUUUGUUUCAUUUUCAAUCCACCCCACCCCAUCCCGCCUCCCAUAGACCUGCACCGCAUGAACCCCCCGCAUAAUUUUUUCCUUUUUUUCUUUUUCUAGCUUAGUUUGAUACUAAAAUAAAAUUCGUAAACAUAAAUUCAUUUUUGUAUUAAUUUAAUAGGAUAGUGACUUCCAAGUUUUAUUUUUUUAGAGGUCAUAUUAUAUUUUAUUGAACCAUUUUCAUUCACUAUCUUAAAUAUUUUAGUAGUUUUGAAGAAAUUAUCCUAAUAAAUAAUAUUUUUUCACUCUUAUAACAUAUAAAAAGUUAAAAUUAAGCUAGAACCCACAUAAAAUUACACAUACCCGCCUCAGUCCCGCAUUAGUAUUUAAAACCCCACUUCAAUCCGCCCUGCAUCCCACCUGCUCCGCACAACCUUCAACCCGUCUCGCCCUGCCCUACACUGUAUAGCCUUAAACACACCCCACCCCGCCCCGCAUCGGUUCCGCGACAUUGCCAUUCCUGUCUCUUACUCCAAAAUAAAUGGAGCUUUUCUCCUUAUUUUCCACUAACCCUGCAAAAUAAUAAUAAAUCAUCAGCAAAUCCUAGUUGGACCAGGUUCAACUUUGCACAUCUAGGAUGGUGUUUUAGUUGUGGUUGGAGCUUUAAUCUCUUUAGCAAUCUACUGAAGUAGUCAUAGCUAGAAAAAAAAUGUAAGGAGACACUGGGUAUCCUUGUCUUUUUUUGAUGAAGUAAUUAGUUCUAUUGCAGGCAUCAAGUAGAUGCAUAAUAGUUACAAAAGCUUAGUAGCAAAAGGUUAUCUCUCAUUUACAUUGUUAAUUGAGAAUCAGGGAGUAGACAUGGUUUAGAAGUGAAUCAGGGCAAUCUAGAGGGGAUAAAUAAACCCAAAUAUACAAAAACAUGAGGCAGUUAGCUUCUAAAGAUUGGUAAGUAGUUGAUAUUCCAUCAAAGCAUCUUCUAUUCCUUUCGUUCCAGAUACUCCAAAAAAUGGCUGAAGGUAUCAUCUUCCAUAUUCUCUUGAUGGUGCUAUCAACUUUCCAGCAACCCCAGCUUAUUACAACAUCCCUGAUAUUCUGAGGCAUGACCCAUUUGAAGCCAAAAAGAUCUAAAAACAUACUCCACAAGUUUGCUGCUAUUUGACAUUGUAGAAAUAGGCGGUUGUGUGUUUCUGCUUCCUUCUUGAACAUAUAACAUCUGGUAGCCAUCUGAAACUUCCUUCUGGUCAGGUUGUCUUGGGUCAGGCAAGCUCCAUGGUCCAGCUGAAGCAACUAAUCUUAGGAGGCAAUUUUAUCUUCCAUAUAAGCUUCCAAGGCUAGUGGUCUGUAAUUGCAUUUCGUGGGCCUAGAUGCUUGAGAGCUGCUUUAACUGAGAACUUCCCACCCCUUUUUUUCUCCCCAGUUGAGCUGGUCUGGUAUUUCACUGUUAAAUGCAACACUGUAAAGUGUUGCUAGUAGGCUGACCAACUCCUCCAUUUCCCAGUCCUGUAUGUUCCAAGAAUUCCCUUUUCUGUAUUGCUGAUUAGUAGAGUUAGGCUCCCUUGCUUUCUGGAACAUGUUAGGGUAAGCAACCAUUAAGGAGGAGUUGCCUAUCCAUUUGUCUCUCCAGAAACUGAUAUGUUGUCCAUUCCCUGCAAUUAAGUAUUUGUGUUGAGAGAACUCCUCCCAUAAUUUGCUUAUACUUCUCCAGACACCAACUCCAUAUGGAGCUGUUGAAACAUUAGAACACCAGUGGUUUAGUGCUUCAUGUUUAGCAAUAAUCACAUCCUUCCAAAGGCUAUGCUCCUCUUGAGUGUAUCUCCACAACCACUUCAUAAGUAGGCAUUUGUUUUGCAAUGCUAAGUCUCUAAUGCCCAAACCACCUAACUUUUUUGGUAACAAGACUAUUGGCCAAUUGACCAAAUGGAAUUUAUGGCUUUUGUUAUUCCCUUCCCAUAGAAAAUUCCUUCUGGUUUUGUCCAGUUGCUUCAAAGCCUUACUAGAUAUGGGAUGUAGUGACAUACUAUAUGUGCUAUCAAGUACACUGAUUAUCAAUGUAAGUCUUCCACCCAUAGAGAGGUACUGCAGUUGCCAUUUAGCAAGCCUUUUUUCAAACUUUUCAAUCAUUCCACUCCAGAUGCCAUCCGCCUUUUAUUUAGCCCCAAAUGGAAGGCCUAAGUAAGUGGUUGGGAAAAUUCCAGUUCUACAACCCAAUAUGUCUGCCAGCUCCUCAAUGUUCUGCACCUCAUUAAUAGGAUAGAUCACACUCUUGAGCAUGUUUAUAUGGAGACCUGAAACAGCUUCAAAUAUGAGUAGCGUAAGGUUUAAAUAUAGGACCUGCUCUCUGUCAGCCCCACAAAAGAUCAAUGUAUCAUCUGCGUAAAGCAAAUGUGAGAUGUUAACUGCUCUAUCCCUUCCUAUAUCAAAACCUUUGAGCCAUUGCAGUUGUUUGGCUUUGUUUAACAUUCUACUCAACCCUUCCAUAGCUAGGAUGAAUAGAAAAGGUGAAAGUGGAUCACCUUGCCUUAGGCCUCUCUGUGCAGAGAAAAAGCCUACUAGGCUUCUGUUGAUUAGAACUGAAUACUUAACUAUGGAGAUGUUGAACUUAAUCCAUUUAAUCGACCUAUCACCAAACCCCAUCUGCCGGAGAAUAGAUAUGAGAUAAGACCAAUUCAAAUGGUCAAAGGCUUUCUCAACAUCUAAUUUGCAAAGUAGUCCAGCAUUCCCUUGUUUCAAUUACCAAUCAAGCACCUCAUUUGCUAUGAGUGAGGCAUCAAUGAUUUGUCUCCCUUUGAUGAAGGCAUUUUGUUGGUUUGAGACUAGUUUCCCCAUAACUGUCUUCAAUCUAUUUGCGAGGACUUUUGCAAUGAUCUUGUAUAUGCUUCCAAUCAAGACUAAUAGGUCUGUAAUCCCUAAGUUCGCUUGCCCCCUUUUUCUUAGAAAGAAGUGAUAUGUAUGAAGCAUUACAAGACUUAACUAUCCAGCAAUGUUGAUGGUAGUGUUGCAUAACUGUUAAUAGAUCUGUCUUGAUAAACUCCCAAGAGCUCUGGAAGAAAGCCAUAGUAAAACCAUCAGGUCCGGGGGCUUUGUCAGGGGCACUUGAUUUAAUGGUUGCUAAUACUUCCUCCUCUCUGAAAGCUGCUUCUAAGUUACUGCUUUCCUAUGAUGGAGGCAAUUCCUUCAAACAUGAUUGUAGGCCUUCACUCUUCUAGUUCAGUGUACACUCCUUCAAAGAACUCUAGUGUCUUCUUUUUAAUUGUCUCCUUAUCUUCAAUGACCACAUUGUCUAGUAGAAGUCUGUCUAUGCAAUUGGAUCUUCUACUAGAAUUAGCAAUCUUCUGAAAGUAUUUGGUGUUCCUAUCCCCUUGAGCCAGAGGAACUUGGAUUUUGCCUACAUGAGAUCUCCUCUAUCUUGGCUAACUGUUGUAUCUCAGCUCUCAGGCUUGUCAUUUGACUAGCCUCUAUAGUGCUCAAUUGUUUGCCUUCAGUGUUCCGUUCCAAGAUCAUCAACUCGUCUAGUGCUUUUCCUUUCAUGGUCUCCAGUUUUCCAAAUUUCUCCUUGUUCCAAGUGGUUAUGUCCUUCUUUAGACUCUUCAAUUUUUGCAUAAGGAUGAAAUCAAUCCGCCCAUUUAAAUUUUAGCUCUGCCACCAGAGUUUUAGCUUAUCCAGAAAGCCAUCAACUUCCAGCCACAUGUUCUCAAAUUUAAAGUAGGAAGGAGUGGCAUCCCAAUCCUCACUUUCCAGUAAAAUGGGCCUGUGAUCUGAAAUUACCCUUGGCAAUGCAAUUUGUUUCACAACCUUGAAAGAGUCAUUCCAUUCCGAGGGUAUAAUGAAUCUGUCAAUUCUCAAAGCUUGUUGAUUGUUCUCAUCUCUGGACCAAGUGAAUUGGGCUCCCUGCAAUGGUAGGUCAAUUAUCCCCAGGUCUUGGAUUUUAUGUCUGAGAAUGUUGCCAUGGAUCUUGAUCUCCUUUUGCAAUUUAACCGUUCACUUUCAAAUCUGCAUACAUUGAAGUCACCCCCUAUGACCCACUCAUGUUCCCAAAGUCCUCUUAUCCCUGCUAGUUCAUCCCACAUCUCCUCCCUUUUCGAAUUAGUGUGUGGACCAUAAAUGCCCAUGAAGCACCAUCUGAACUCUUCAAGUGUACUUUGUAGCAUACACGAGAUCGAGUAACAGCCCAGUUGUGUGUCCAUUUUCACCCAUUUCCUUUUAUCCCAGAUUACUAUAAUACCACCUCUUGUGCCGUUUGCUGUAAGUUCCACCCAAUCAGCCCAUCUAUUCCCCCAUAAUUGUUGUUUAGUCUACAAUUGCAGCCUUGGACUUUGGUUUCUUGUAAACAUAAAAUGUCUACUUUCCACUUCUAAAUGAGGGAUUGAUAGUGCUUCUCUUCCCCUCCUCAUUCAGCCCCCUUAUAUUCCAACUAAGGACUUCCAAAUUCAUCUAGACAGUGAGGUGCACUGCCUGCCCCUACUUCCACUACUUUGUUGUUCUUUUUUGUCAUAAUUGAUCCCACAGAUUUAAUUUUUCCUCUCCCUUCUCCUUUGUUUUUUUUUCCGACUCCCAGACUCCUUUUAAUUUAACUCCAGCUUUUGAACUUGUUUUUGUCUUCUUUGCUCCAUUCUUAGAACUAAAUCUAAGAGAUCAUGUUCAAAACCUGUAGCAUUGACCCCGAAGGCUUCGCAUGCCUUAACCAUUGUGAUUUUUGUCCACUUUGAUGUCUCGACUACAGUUGGUUUGUCUAUAACCUGUGGAUUGGGGUUACCUUCAUACCAUGUGAAUGGUAAAGCUUCUCUUAUUGCUAUCGAGGGGAAAUCUGUAUCUGAGUUGAAAUAGGCAACCAGUUCCCUGCUUGAGGUGUGUUGUUGCAAUAGCCUGUGGAUUCUUUCAAGGGUAAUUCUUUCAUCAUCUGCAUCUGACUGCCCCACUCCUGAUAUUUGCUCUACGAAUUAUGUUUGUGAUAGAACACUGAAUCUAUUAGAAGCUGGGUUGGGUUUUUAAACUUGCCAAAUGGUUAUAAGUUUAAAGAGUUUGGCCUCAUUUAAAACUUUAGCUUUUUCUCUCUUGCCAUUUGGGCCUGUUUGGUAAUAAAUCUGAUCAGCUUCUAGGCUCACUUGUAGUUGAUUCAGCACUGGACCACUCCCAUUAACAUUAUUAGAUUCUUUGACUUUUGCCCUUUUGUCCACUGGGCAAUCCAGGUUGUCCCUUUUUGGAGUAAAGUUGUCCUCUUUUGAAUUAAAGUUGCUCCUUUUUAAAUUAAAGUUGUCCCUUUGUGUCUCUUCAUAUGAUACGAGGUUUGAGGUGCCAACUUCUUCCUUUGACUUCCCUUUCUCGAGAAGAGUGGCUUUUCCGGCGAGACGAACAACCGUAUGCAGAUCCUCUAAGACUGUGAGAUCGAAACCCCAAUCUUCUUUGAGCAGCUCUAUGGAUCUUGUGAUUACCUUCAUGUUCUUCUUCGCACAUAUUCGAGCCCAUAGCAUGUGUGUUCUGUGUGUCGUGUCUUCAUCAACUCCAACAUAGCCUCCGCACUUAUCUCUGAUAAAUUGAAAGGUUUCUGAAGACCAUGCGUGUAGUGGAAUUCCAAAAACCUUUAUCCAUUUAUGAUCAGAUUUCUCUGAGGUUAGCUUUGAGCCAGCCACUGAAGACCACCAUUCAAGAGUUAGCUUUCGUCCCUUCCAGAACCACUCACAAGCUUUUACCCUACAUGCCUCCAGUAUUGAUUAUGGUUAAUGGAUGUGACUUUAAGUCCUGCAGUAACUUGCCACCUGCCCACAAACCAUUUUUGGAUGAUCUCUGCAUUUGGACUAGUGUUGAAUGGGUCUCCUUGACUUAACCCUCGUUUUGCUUCAAAAGGUACAGUUGGUUCCUCUUGUCACAAUAGAAUAGGAGACUAAUGUGAGGCACUCCAUAAUCCAGUGCACAAAUUUUGUUGGAAAAUUCAUGCGAUUCAAAACUUGUUCCGCUAAGAUCCAUUCCUCUGAAUAAUUACUUACCACUUGCAAUCAAUGAGUAUUGUACAAUAGGAAAUGGGUCGAAAUUUCUUCACAGAAGAUGGACUCUUCACUUUAGGGAGUAGGGUAACUUGUGUGCAAUUUAUUGGCUUGUAAAUGGUUGAUCAAUUAAUGAACUCUAUUACAGCAACAACAUCUAUGACAUCUCCUCCAAUUACUGGCCAUGAUUUUAUGAAGAAGCAUGAAUUAAAACCGUCUACACCUGGGGCUUUUAAUUCAUCAAUACUCUUUAGAGCAGUAUACAACUCUUCCCGUCUAACGGGCGCUAUCAACUCCAGCUUCCUGUUAUUAAAGGCUAUCAACUCCAGCUGUUG